GUUAACGAGGCGAACCGGGGGAACUGAAACAUCUAAGUACCCCGAGGAAAAGAAAUCAACCGAGAUUCCCCCAGUAGCGGCGAGCGAACGGGGAGCAGCCCAGAGUCUGAAUCAGCUUGUGUGUUAGUGGAACGGUCUGGAAAGUCCGACGGUACAGGGUGAUAGUCCCGUACACCAAAAUGCACAGGCUGUGAACUCGAAGAGUAGGGCGGGACACGUGGUAUCCUGUCUGAAUAUGGGGGGACCAUCCUCCAAGGCUAAAUACUCCUGACUGACCGAUAGUGAACCAGUACCGUGAGGGAAAGGCGAAAAGAACCCCGGCGAGGGGAGUGAAAAAGAACCUGAAACCGUGUACGUACAAGCAGUGGGAGCACCUUCGGGUGUGACUGCGUACCUUUUGUAUAAUGGGUCAGCGACUUAUAUUCUGUAGCAAGGUUAACCGUAUAGGGGAGCCGCAGGGAAACCGAGUCUUAACUGGGCGUUAAGUUGCAGGGUAUAGACCCGAAACCCGGUGAUCUAGCCAUGGGCAGGUUGAAGGUUGGGUAACACUAACUGGAGGACCGAACCGACUAAUGUUGAAAAAUUAGCGGAUGACUUGUGGCUGGGGGUGAAAGGCCAAUCAAACCGGGAGAUAGCUGGUUCUCCCCGAAAGCUAUUUAGGUAGCGCCUCGUGAACUCAUCUUCGGGGGUAGAGCACUGUUUCGGCUAGGGGGUCAUCCCGACUUACCAACCCGAUGCAAACUACGAAUACCGAAGAAUGUUAUCACGGGAGACACACGGCGGGUGCUAACGUCCGUCGUGAAGAGGGAAACAACCCAGACCGCCAGCUAAGGUCCCAAAGUCAUGGUUAAGUGGGAAACGAUGUGGGAAGGCACAGACAGCCAGGAUGUUGGCUUAGAAGCAGCCAUCAUUUAAAGAAAGCGUAAUAGCUCACUGGUCGAGUCGGCCUGCGCGGAAGAUGUAACGGGGCUAAACCAUGCACCGAAGCUGCGGCAGCGACACUAUGUGUUGUUGGGUAGGGGAGCGUUCUGUAAGCCUGCGAAGGUGUGCUGUGAGGCAUGCUGGAGGUAUCAGAAGUGCGAAUGCUGACAUAAGUAACGAUAAAGCGGGUGAAAAGCCCGCUCGCCGGAAGACCAAGGGUUCCUGUCCAACGUUAAUCGGGGCAGGGUGAGUCGACCCCUAAGGCGAGGCCGAAAGGCGUAGUCGAUGGGAAACAGGUUAAUAUUCCUGUACUUGGUGUUACUGCGAAGGGGGGACGGAGAAGGCUAUGUUAGCCGGGCGACGGUUGUCCCGGUUUAAGCAUGUAGGCUGGUUAUCCAGGCAAAUCCGGAUAAUCAAGGCUGAGGUGUGAUGACGAGGCACUACGGUGCUGAAGUAACAAAUGCCCUGCUUCCAGGAAAAGCCUCUAAGCAUCAGGUAACAUCAAAUCGUACCCCAAACCGACACAGGUGGUCAGGUAGAGAAUACCAAGGCGCUUGAGAGAACUCGGGUGAAGGAACUAGGCAAAAUGGUGCCGUAACUUCGGGAGAAGGCACGCUGGUGUGUAGGUGAAGUCCCUGCGGAUGGAGCUGAGACCAGUCGAAGAUACCAGCUGGCUGCAACUGUUUAUUAAAAACACAGCACUGUGCAAACACGAAAGUGGACGUAUACGGUGUGACGCCUGCCCGGUGCCGGAAGGUUAAUUGAUGGGGUUAUCCGUAAGGAGAAGCUCUUGAUCGAAGCCCCGGUAAACGGCGGCCGUAACUAUAACGGUCCUAAGGUAGCGAAAUUCCUUGUCGGGUAAGUUCCGACCUGCACGAAUGGCGUAAUGAUGGCCAGGCUGUCUCCACCCGAGACUCAGUGAAAUUGAACUCGCUGUGAAGAUGCAGUGUACCCGCGGCAAGACGGAAAGACCCCGUGAACCUUUACUAUAGCUUGACACUGAACAUUGAGCCUUGAUGUGUAGGAUAGGUGGGAGGCUUUGAAGCGUGGACGCCAGUCUGCGUGGAGCCAACCUUGAAAUACCACCCUUUAAUGUUUGAUGUUCUAACGUUGGCCCCUGACCGGGGUUGCGGACAGUGUCUGGUGGGUAGUUUGACUGGGGCGGUCUCCUCCCAAAGCGUAACGGAGGAGCACGAAGGUUAGCUAAUCCUGGUCGGACAUCAGGAGGUUAGUGCAAUGGCAUAAGCUAGCUUGACUGCGAGCGUGACGGCGCGAGCAGGUGCGAAAGCAGGUCAUAGUGAUCCGGUGGUUCUGAAUGGAAGGGCCAUCGCUCAACGGAUAAAAGGUACUCCGGGGAUAACAGGCUGAUACCGCCCAAGAGUUCAUAUCGACGGCGGUGUUUGGCACCUCGAUGUCGGCUCAUCACAUCCUGGGGCUGAAGUAGGUCCCAAGGGUAUGGCUGUUCGCCAUUUAAAGUGGUACGCGAGCUGGGUUUAGAACGUCGUGAGACAGUUCGGUCCCUAUCUGCCGUGGGCGCUGGAGAAUUGAGGGGGGCUGCUCCUAGUACGAGAGGACCGGAGUGGACGCAUCACUGGUGUUCGGGUUGUCAUGCCAAUGGCACUGCCCGGUAGCUAAAUGCGGAAGAGAUAAGUGCUGAAAGCAUCUAAGCACGAAACUUGCCCCGAGAUGAGUUCUCCCUGAGACUUUAAGUCUCCUGAAGGAACGUUGAAGACGACGACGUUGAUAGGCCGGGUGUGUAAGCGCAGCGAUGCGUUGAGCUAACCGGUACUAAUGAACCGUGAGGCUUAACCUUACAACGCCGAAG
rnacentral:rRNA from 1 species